rnacentral:rRNA from 1 species
UACGGGGGGGGCAAGCGUUGUUCGGAAUUACUGGGCGUAAAGGGCUCGUAGGCGGCCAACUAAGUCAUACGUGAAAUCCCUCGGCUUAACCGGGGAACUGCGUCUGAUACUGGAUGGCUUGAGUUCGGGAGAGGGGUGCGGAAUUCCAGGUGUAGCGGUGAAAUGCGUAGAUAUCUGGAGGAACACCGGUGGCGAAGGCGGCAUCCUGGACCGAUACUGACGCUGAGGAGCGAAAGCCAGGGGAGCAAACGGG